rnacentral:misc_RNA from 1 species
CUGAAAUUGUGGACUUCUUGCAAAAGUCUGAACAUUGGAAGAGGUCUGCUGGUCGGGAUCAUGUGAUUCCAAUGCAUCAUCCAAAUGCUUUCAAGCGUUACCGGGAGAAGGUGAAUGCUGCUAUUUUCAUUGUGGCAGAUUUUGGUCGUCCUCCUCCAACAGUGUCUAAUUUGAGGAAAGAUGUAGUGGCCCCAUAUGCACACGUGGUUGAAACUUUUGAAGCUGAUGAUAAUUCAGACCCAUAUGAGUCCCGCACAACGCUUCUUUUCUUCCGUGGGAGGACAGACAGAAAAGAUGAUGGAAAAGACCGUCAGCAAAUGAAAGACAUGUUGAGUGGUCAGAAGGAUGUUGUCUUUGAAGCAGCAGGAAUCUCAGGGAAAGGUGUAAAUGAAUCAACAAAUGGGAUGCGUUUGUCAAAGUUCUGUCUACAUCCAGCAGGGGACACCCCAUCAUCUUGCCGCCUGUUUGAUGCAAUAGUGAGCCAUUGUGUUCCUGUAAUUGUGAGUGACAAAAUUGAGCUACCUUUUGAGGAUGAAUUAGACUAUACCAAAUUCUCGAUGUUUUUCUCACGUGAGGAGGCAAAGAAAGAAGGAUACAUGCUUGAUCAGCUGAGGAGUGUUUCAAAAGCAAGAUGGGUUGAAAUGUGGGGCUAUCUUAAGAACAUUAGCCAUCAUUUUGAGUACCAAUACCCUCCGAAAAAGGGUGAUGCUGUAAACAUGAUAUGGAGGGAGGUGAAGCACAAGCUUCCUGCUACCCAACUUGAUGUACAUAGGAACAGAAGGUUGAAAGUGCCAGAUUGGUGGAGAUAGUGUAUAAUACUGUAUGUACAUUUUGUAUACCAAUAUUGAUAGAGCAAAG